UCGGGAAUAUUGCGCAAUGGAGGAAACUCUGACGCAGUGACGCCGCGUGCAGGAAGAAGGUUUUCGGAUUGUAAACUGCUUUAGACAGGGAAGAAAAAGGACAGUACCUGUAGAAUAAGCUCCGGCUAACUACGUGCCAGCAGCCGCGGUAAUACGUAGGGAGCAAGCGUUAUCCGGAUUUAUUGGGUGUAAAGGGUGCGUAGACGGGAAGUCAAGUUAGUUGUGAAAUCCCUCGGCUCAACUGAGGAACUGCAACUAAAACUAACUUUCUUGAGUGCUGGAGAGGAAAGUGGAAUUCCUAGUGUAGCGGUGAAAUGCGUAGAUAUUAGGAGGAACACCAGUGGCGAAGGCGACUUUCUGGACAGUAACUGACGUUGAGGCACGAAAGUGUGGGGAGCAAACAGGAUUAGAUACC
rnacentral:rRNA from 1 species